CGUCAGUUUGAGACGUGGACGGCUACGAACUUGCCAGAGUUGACGGGGACAAUGAUUACUUCUAACAUGACAAAGCCGUUUUUCAGAGAGCUGGCGAUGGACAAGGAUGAUAAGAAUAGAACUCCACGUUACUGGUCAAGAUGACAAGCUAAUCCAUUGAGUUUGAUAUAGUUCAAUGGUCAUGUUCAAUGCGAGCGUCUUUGAUCAUUAUCUGGUAUAAAUACCAACAGCCUUCACUGGAUCUGCAGACUUGUCUCACAGAAUUUCGCCAUUCUUCAACACGAUUCUGCAAUUAUACACAUUUCAAUCCACCAUGAACAUUGACUUUGAGCACCCGUCGAUGUACGGUGCAGUACGCUACAGGUGCGUAUGUCGGACGAAAGCCAUAGGACAAGAACGAUGUAAGAGAAAAAGUCGCCAUGCCACAAAAACGUGUUGGCAACACAAGGCCGAGCUGACGUACGAAGAGUAAGUUUCUUCCCGCUUUUCAUUUAGUUUAAUUCCUUCAUGUUUUUCUGUUUUUCUUUCAUU